CAACAUGGUACUUGUUUCAAAGAUGGAUUUGAACUAUUCACAUAUAACGGUGAAGGCGAACCUAAAGUCCUAUUUAAUAAAAAUCCAGAAGUUAACGUUGACAAAGAAAGACAAAAAAGCAAGGGAACUCUUCCACAAUAAUUUUACAUAUCUUGGUGACAUUAUAUUGGAAACGCUACAAGUAAAGAACUAGUGAAUACGACAUUUACCUUAAAUCUUAAUGAAUUUCGUGAAAUUACGUUUGGGAUUAAAUCUAGAGGUGGUUGUGGCAAAGUCAUUCGGAUAAAAGUCUACUAUUAAUGUAAUGGAAUGGAAUGAUACUAGCAUCAAAAGAAAG